rnacentral:rRNA from 2 species
AUGGACGCAAGUCUGAUGGAGCAACGCCGCGUGAGUGAAGAAGGCUUUCGGGUCGUAAAACUCUGUUGUUGGAGAAGAAUGGUCGGCAGAGUAACUGUUGUCGGCGUGACGGUAUCCAACCAGAAAGCCACGGCUAACUACGUGCCAGCAGCCGCGGUAAUACGUAGGUGGCAAGCGUUAUCCGGAUUUAUUGGGCGUAAAGCGAGCGCAGGCGGUUUUUUAAGUCUGAUGUGAAAGCCCUCGGCUUAACCGAGGAAGCGCAUCGGAAACUGGGAAACUUGAGCGCAGAAGAGGACAGUGGAACUCCAUGUGUAGCGGUGAAAUGCGUAGAUAUAUGGAAGAACACCAGUGGCGAAGGCGGCUGUCUGGUCUGUAACUGACGCUGAGGCUCGAAAGCAUGGGUAGCGAACAGGAUUAGAUACCCUGGUAGUCCAUGCCGUAAACGAUGAAUGCUAGGUGUUGGAGGGUUUCCGCCCUUCAGUGCCGCAGCUAACGCAUUAAGCAUUCCGCCUGGGGAGUACGACCGCAAGGUUGAAACUCAAAGGAAUUGACGGGGGCCCGCACAAGCGGUGGAGCAUGUGGUUUAAUUCGAAGCAACGCGAAGAACCUUACCAGGUCUUGACAUCUUUUGAUCACCUGAGAGAUCAGGGUUUCCCCUUCGGGGGCAAAAUGACAGGUGGUGCAUGGU